GGCGCUAUAGUGUAGUGGUUAUCACUCGGGAUUUUGAAGUGAUCUUCCCGAAACCCAGGUUCGAACCCUGGUAGAGCCU